UACGUAGGGUGCAAGCGUUAAUCGGAGUUACUGGGCGUAAAGCGUGCGCAGGCGGUGAUGUAAGACAGUUGUGAAAUCCCCGGGCUCAACCUGGGAACUGCAUCUGUGACUGCAUCGCUGGAGUGCGGCAGAGGGGGAUGGAAUUCCGCGUGUAGCAGUGAAAUGCGUAGAUAUCAGGAGGAAUACCGAUGGCGAAGGCAGGUCUCUGGGCUGACACUGACGCUCAUGCACGAAAGCGUGGGGAGCAAACAGG
rnacentral:rRNA from 1 species